GACGAACGCUGGCGGCGUGCUUAACACAUGCAAGUCGAACGGAAAGGCCCUGCUUUUGUGGGGUGCUCGAGUGGCGAACGGGUGAGUAACACGUGAGUAACCUGCCCUUGACUUUGGGAUAACUUCAGGAAACUGGUGCUAAUACCGGAUAGGAGCUCCUGCUGCAUGGUGGGGGUUGGAAAGUUUCGGCGGUUGGGGAUGGACUCGCGGCUUAUCAGCUUGUUGGUGGGGUAGUGGCUUACCAAGGCUUUGACGGGUAGCCGGCCUGAGAGGGUGACCGGCCACAUUGGGACUGAGAUACGGCCCAGACUCCUACGGGAGGCAGCAGUGGGGAAUAUUGCACAAUGGGCGGAAGCCUGAUGCAGCAACGCCGCGUGCGGGAUGACGGCCUUCGGGUUGUAAACCGCUUUCACCUGUGACGAAGCGUGAGUGACGGUAAUGGGUAAAGAAGCACCGGCUAACUACGUG
rnacentral:rRNA from 1 species